rnacentral:sRNA from 1 species
CACACGCAGGUCAUGGGGCGUUCCGGGAGAAAUCCGGGCCGUUCCGCCGGUGUCAGGCGAUUGUUCGUCUGGUCUCAGGCCUGCGGAGGUUCAACCGGAAAAGGAAGAAAAAGC